UUUGAAUGGGGGAAACCUGNAUCCUUCGAUGCCGCGUGUGUGAAGAAGGCCUUCGGGUUGUAAAGCACUUUUGUUCGGGAAGAAAUCCGUCGGGCUAAUANCCCUGGCGGGAUGACGAUGCCGGAAGAAUAAGCACCGGCUAACUACGUGCCAGCAGCCGCGGUAAUACGUAGGGUGCGAGCGUUAAUCGGAAUUACUGGGCGUAAAGCGUGCGCAGGCGGUUUCGUAAGACAGAUGUGAAAUCCCCGGGCUUAACCUGGGAAUUGCAUUUGUGACUGCGAGACUAGAGUGUGUCAGAGGGAGGUGGAAUUCCGCGUGUAGCAGUGAAAUGCGUAGAGAUGCGGAGGAACACCGAUGGCGAAGGCAGCCUCCUGGGAUAACACUGACGCUCAUGCACGAAAGCGUGGGGAGCAAACAGGAUUAGAUACCCUGGUAGUCCACGCCCUAAACGAUGUCUACUGGUUGUCGGGGAUUCAUUUCCUUGGUAACGCAGCUAACGCGUGAAGUAGACCGCCUGGGGAGUACGGCCGCAAGGUUAAAACUCAAACGAAUUGACGGGGACCCGCACAAGCGGUGGAUGAUGUGGAUUAAUUCGAUGCAACGCGAAAAACCUUACCUACGCUUGACAUGCCAGGAACUUUCCAGAGAUGGAUUGGUGCCCGAAAGGGAGG
rnacentral:rRNA from 1 species